rnacentral:RNase_P_RNA from 4 species
AGAGUCGAUCGGACAGUCGCUGCCGCCUUUUGUUCCGCAAUAAGGCGGGGGAGGAAAGUCCGGGCUCCGCAGGGCAGAGUGCCAGGUAACGCCUGGGGGGCGCGAGCCUACGGAAAGUGCCACAGAAAAUAACCGCCUAAGCGCUUCGGCGCCGGUAAGGGUGAAAAGGUGCGGUAAGAGCGCACCGCGCGGCUGGUAACAGUCCGUGGUCAAGGUAAACCCCACUCGGAGCAAGACCAAAUAGGGUUCCAUUAGGCGUGGCCCGCGCCGGAACCGGGUAGGUUGCUAAAGGUGUCCAGUGAUGGCCACCGUAGAGGAAUGACUGUCCUCGACAGAACCCGGCUUACAGAUCGGCUCUUCAC